UAAAGUUGGCUUAGAAUUUUGUAUCUCUUUUCCGUUCAAUUGAAAUAAUGUAGAUAAUCAUAUUGGUUGCGUUUAAUUUUGUAGUCAAGCACAUCCAUAAAAGGUCAAAUUUAUUAACACGUAAUGGUAAUAUUCAAGAAUGUCCACUAAAAAGUAGCCACAUCAUCUGCAACUCCAACAACAGCCGAAUCGAUGAAGACAUGUCUGUGUCAACGCUUCAAUAGCGAAUUUUAUUUGAAAAGCGGACAAUAUAGCUGAAACACUGACCUAGUUUUCGGCACAACAGGGUUUAUUGCACAUCUUCCCUUUUUCCUCUAAUAUUAACAAUUUGUUCAGACAUCGUCGUAAAACCUUUCCCUUCCAAUAUAGCGAUGGACUGAGCCACAGACAUUCGUGUGCCAGGCUCAGCAUAUCAAAAUCACCUAGAUUUUUCCUCGAAAGAAUCAUAAAUGCGUUCUCGUCUAACUGUGCGUUAUUUGAAGGUAAUCUAGAUUGUAGUCAGUUGGGCUAAUGCAACUCAACAAUUUCUGGUAGAGCCCUUACAAAACAAAUGUUCAGAACAGUGACUGAGCAGAAUCCUGAAUUUAAGAAUUUAAGCAGUGGACACUUUACUGAACAAACUCUCGAAAAGUUAUUACGUGACAUAUCACCCAAUAUAUUAUAGAGUAUUUGACCAUUAGCAGGA